AUUGAACGCUAGCGGGAUGCCUUACACAUGCAAGUCGAACGAGUGGCGGACGGGUGAGUAAUAUAUCGGAACGUGCCCAGUAGCGGGGGAUAACUACUCGAAAGAGUGGCUAAUACCGCACACCUUUGGAGCGGCCGAUAUCGGUUUAGCUAGUUGGUGGGGUAAAGGCGCACCAAGGCCACGAGCCGUAGCUGGCUCGAGAGGACGACCAGCCACACGGGGACGGGGAAACGGCCCAGACUCCUACGGGAGGCAGAAGUGGGGAAUUUUGGACAAUGGGGGAAACCCUGAUCCAGCCAUCCCGCGUGUGUGAGAAGGCCUUCGGGUUGUAAAGUACUUUUAGCAGAGAAGCGGUACCUGCAGAAUAAGCACCGGCUAACUACGUGCCAGCAGCCGCGGUAAUAC
rnacentral:rRNA from 1 species